rnacentral:lncRNA from 1 species
UUCAUAAAUAAGGACAGACAGUUCAGAAAUUAAAGAACCUGUCCACUGCAGAAUAAUUGCUCAAUAAAGAGUAAGAGUUAGAAACUUGUCUCGUUUGUAGACUACUAAUUCAGCUUAAUACGUUCUCACAGAGCCUACAUAAUCAUUUGCAUUUUCAAGCUUAUUAACUAAUUAGCUAAACCACAUAGCUUGUGUAUGAUCACACAUCACAUAAUUUUAGUGGUCAAGUUUGUAGUUAGAUUCCUAUAUUUUAUACAUUUUUUAAAUAUCUCACCCAUGUUGUUCAUAUUAGUCAAUUUUCACUUUGAUGGGGUUCGCCAUACUUGCAACAAGUAAUAGGAAUCAUAUUACAGUUAUUAUUUGCAUUAAUCAAGCAUGUUAGCCAUAUAGUUAAGUCAUAUAUAACGUAGUUUCAGUGGUCAUGGAUAGAUUUCUUAUAUAUAAUACAUUUUUCAAAUAUCUCAUUCAUGUUCUUAUUUUCACCAUUUUUCUCUUUAAUGGUGUCACACAACAUGUUUAUAGCCUACAUCUUAUUAGGAUUUUAACACAUGAGUGUUUUAGUUCUAGCAUACAAAAAUGCUUUUGUAGCUUAUUAAAGGUAUUUCCAAUAUCAUUCUAUGCCUAAUCCUUCACAUUUUAAUUUCAAGGCCAAUUAGCUAAUUAAAACUGUCAUAACAGUUUUCUGUGUUUUGACAAUAAGGAUCUUAAUGAAGUUUAAGUUAUUCUCAGCUUUAACUGAAUUUGGCAAGCCUAAAACUGCAAUAGCAGUUUAUUGAGGCCACUUCUAUUGUUGACUGCUAAUCAGUCACAUAACUUCAUCUUUAUCACAUUAUUCUUCUCAACUUGUAAGCAUACUAUAAAGUAUACAUGUUUACAACACCUACUCAAGUUACAUCAUUUGAUUGCUCUUUUUAUGAAGAUUUCAAUUCUCUACCAAGGUGGUUAGUAGACUGCUUUAGCAGUCAUAUAACAUCAACUGCUGCUGCUCAUAGGCAGCAGUCCCCUUCAUUUUGGCCUGGUUUAGAUUAUAGCUUCCCUUAAAUUUGUUUAUCUUACCAACUGUAGCUAACAGAAAAUCAUAAGGAAUCAAGCCCAGAUAAAAUUUUGGGGUCCUGUUGCUGCCAUUAGGCAGCAACCCUACUUCUCCUCUCCCAUUUUCUAAAAGAGGUUAGUCCUAAAAGUUAGAAAAUCUUUGAACAAGAGCUUGGUUCUUUUAUCUGAAUUAUGUCUAGCAUAUACAAGUAUGUUUAGAAUUUGUACAUGAUGGGUAAGCUUCUUAAUCACAUCACAAAGCCAAAAACUGCCAUAGCAGUUUGGUUGUUCUAAUUUGUUGCUGCCUAUUGGCAGUGGCCCCUUUCUCCUUUACCAACAUACCUAUAUCCCUCUAUACUUUACUAAAAACUUAAUUGGGUUCAUUUUUCAACUGAGAUUGGCAAGUUUGACACUGCCUUGGCAGUUAUUUAUUCGUAACUGCUGCCGCACAUAGGCAGCAGCCCUCCACUUUCAUCUUGGAUAUCACUUCAUGUUUUCUUAACCUUUACUAUGUUCUUAUUGGUACACUCUCUUUGGCAGUGGCUCAGGACUGCAGUCUACAUGCCAACUGCUCCAUAAUCUUGGUUCCCUUGCAAGCCCAGAACAACAGUCCACAGCUUCAGUUUUGCUAAGGUUUUUAGUUGUGUUGUGGCAACCACUACUGUCAUGGACAGCAGUUUUUAAGACCCCAGCCCAGCCCUCAACUUGAUAUAUUUUGUAAACUUUUUGGUUAACCUUGAUAUACUAUGCUUGACCCAUAGAUCUAACUGCUAACACAGUGGUUAGCAGUCAACUGUUAUCACUGCUACUACCUUGUACAGCAGCCACCCUUCCUCAGAUUCUUUUUCUUUCAAGUCUUAGUCUUUAAGCCAAAAACUUAGUUAUACUUGAAUUUUAGAUAUAUUAAUACCUAAAAGUACCUUUAGACUUGCAACACAAUCGUGGUAGUCCCCAUAGACUGACUCAAAUCAAUGUGCAAAGGGGUUGACAUACUAACUUUCUUAAUUCUUUAUUUUGACAUAAGUCUGAAUUCCAUCUCCUCCUAAUAGGCUCAACUUGUAAAUUAUAAGUAUAGGUAAUACAUGAAUAAUUUCCAACCUUGUUUGAGUCUAAUACUUGACUUUUACUUAAGGCAGUCCACUUGGGACUUACGUCGAGCAUGUGAUGUGCACAGUUUCAAAUUACAUAUGUCAUAGACAUUUGCUUGUGUAAGAAAGCCAAUUUUGUCAUCCUUAUUACUCCUCAGCCCAACUUAUCUCCUUGUGCCUAAGUUCAGUCCAUACUAUCAUAGCCAUAGCAUAGCAGUCAAUUUAAUAUAACUACUCAACACCUAUCAUGUUAACAGUCAGUUAAAAUAGCAGCAUAGCAUCCAUAUAGCAGUCUUUGAGUCUAUAACAGAAAAUAGGCAAGAUUUAAUACUAUAUCAUUAUAACAGUCUAUAUAGAGCAUUAUAGACAUGGUUUAAUACCCUUGCAUCAAAACAGUACCAAGGAAUGAGAUCUUUGUAUCUCUAAAGCAUGGACCUCUUACAUAUUAUAUGUUCAUGGUUUAAAACACCUUAUAGUAAGGUUUUCAUGUUUUAGACCAAAACAGUCCCUUUUUGGUACAAGAUAACAUGAUUUGAAAAGCCUUUAGGUACUAAGGUAACAUGAUUAGGCAUAUGGAAAUAAGGACUGCCUAUAAUGAAUAUAUUAGAGGCAAUGCAUGAUUAUCAUAAUAAAAUUCCUAAUAACAGCCCAUAUAGUAGCAUUGCCAUAACACAGUAUUGGAUUUAAGACAGAACAGUCCCUCAUACCUAUUCCAAACUUUUUAGGCAAGGUUUUGACAUUAAAUCACCACAACAGCCAUGAAGUUUACCACCCAAAGGUUUCCACAUCAUGUAUAUGCUAUAUAAUAUAUAUUGAUGGUUUAAAGAGCCUACAUACAAUGUUUUCUACUUUAGUUAAAAACAGUCUUUCAUAGGCUUCACAUUAAUACAAGAAAGCAUGAUUUGACAAUUUUAGUUAUCAAAAUGACAUGAUUAAGCAACAAGUAAACAUAAAUUGGUUAUUUACAUAGUAAUUAUACUAGAAGCAAUUCAUAAAUAUCUUAAGAAAAGCUUCUAAUAUCAGUCAUAGGGGAGCUUACUAUUUCAGUUCAUUAUUACCUACUUUGUCCAAGUGUUUAGCUAUCUUAGAUUGUCAAUUAUUUUGAGACAUGUUAAGGUCAAGCAUAGAGUAUACUCAUAUAAGAAAUUUGGUAUUAGCUUGGACUCUAAAUCAUAGUUAAUAUUCAAAGUUACAAAGUCAGUCCUUAACUUGGCAAUUUAUCAAACACAUAGAGGGCAGUUUAUAUACUUGCACUUAAUACAAAAUUUCUAGCCCACUGCCCCCAGCCGUAUGGCUUAAACAAUACCAAACAUAAGACCAAUCUUAGCAGUCCUACUCACAGCAAUUCACAUAGCAAUUAAAACAGUUAUUUAUGCUACUUAGCCACUAACAGUCUAAUUGCUAACACUUAAAGGAACAUGAGCGACUAGAAAAAGGAUUGGGGGCCUGAAUUGGCUUACCUUGUUAAUUCGAAGGUGACAAGUAGGUUGAGCUGCUCAAUUCCUUUUCCCCCUCUAGCCGAACUCUGCUAAUAUCAGUUGACUCUCUUUUUCUUUCUUACUAUGCUAGCAAAUUGGGCAGUCAGUUGAGGAGUAGAACAUAUGGUUAUAUAGCCGAACUUAGCCUCUUUUACUGUUAAUUGCAUCACCUCCUAGUUGGCCCCUACACAGUCAUUAUUCCUAAUCUAGCUUGUGCAGUCCCUUCACAGCCACCCUAGCAGCAGACUCUACUCACUUGCUAAGCCUUAUCUAAUGUUUUCUUUGUCUGUUGGUUGUCUGCUAGCUAAACUAAUCAAGCUAACCAAGAAUUAACGUAGAAUCUGCAUAAGCUGCUAAUCAACUGCCUAAUGUAACUAUCUCAGUUAACUACCUUCCUAUUUGGGCUGUUACAUGAAGCUUAAGGAAGGCUGGCAAGGAGAUUGGGCUGAGUUGAUUCUUUUUAAUUUGUU